rnacentral:rRNA from 1 species
UUAGUGACUGAGCCCAUACUUCCAAGAAAAGCCUCUAGUUAGACCUGCGUGACCGUACCGCAAACCGACACAGGUGGAUGGGUGGAGAAUACCAAGGGGAUCGGGAGAAUCUCUGUUAAGGAAUUAGGCAAAUUAGAUCCGUAACUUCGGGAAAAGGAUCGCCCCAUUAGCGUGACGACGACAAGCUUGUCUGAGCGUGAAGGGGCCGCAGAGAAAUGGCUCUAGCGACUGGUUACCAGAACCACAGGUCUGUGCUAAGUCGAAAGACGACGUAUACGGGCUGACGCCUGCCCAGUGCCGGAAGGUUAAGGGGAGCGGUGCAAGCUGCGAACUGAAGCCCCGGUGAACGGCGGCCGUAACUAUAACGGUCCUAAGGUAGCGAAAUUCCUUGUCGGGUAAGUUCCGACCCGCACGAAUGGCGUAACGACUGGAGCACUGUCUCAACAGAGAACCCGGUGAAACUGAAUUAGGAGUGAAGAUGCUUCUUACCCGCAGCUGGACAAAAAGACCCCGUGGAGCUUUACUGUAGCUUGACAUUGGGUUAGAACUUAGGUUGUGUAGGAUAGGUGGGAGACUGUGAAGCUGGGCCGCCAGGCUCGGUGGAGUCGUCGGUGAAAUACCACUCUGCUUAAGUUUUGGCCCUAACCUUUGCCGUAAUCCGGUGAGGAAACAGUGUCAGGUGGGCAGUUUGACUGGGGCGGUCGCCUCCUAAAGAGUAACGGAGGCGCGCAAAGGUUCCCUCAGGCUGAAUGGAAACCAGUCGUAGAGUGCAAACGCAUAAGGGAGCUUGACUGCGAGACGGACGGGUCGAGCAGAGACGAAAGUCGGCGUUAGUGAUCCUAUGGCACCGAGUGGAAGGGCCAUGGCUCAACGGAUAAAAGCUACCCCGGGGAUAACAGGCUAGUCUUCCCCAAGAGUUCACAUCGACGGGAAGGUUCGGCACCUCGAUGUCGGCUCGUCACAUCCUGGGGCUGGAGUAGGUCCCAAGGGUUGGGCUGUUCGCCCAUUAAAGUGGUACGCGAGCUGGGUUCAGACCGUCGUGAGACAGGUCGGUCUCUAUCCGCUGUGGGCGUAAGGGAAUUGAGGAGAGCUGCCCCUAGUACGAGAGGACCGGGGUGGACGGAUCUCUGGUGUGCCAGUUGUGCUGCCAAGUGCAUGGCUGGGUAGCUAAGUCCGGAAUGGAUAACCGCUGAAAGCAUCUAAGUGGGAAGCCAGCUCCAAGAUAAGUUCCCUCACAGGGUUAACCUGGUAAGUGCGCAGGAAGACCACCCGCUUGAUAGGCGGCAAGUGUACAGGCUGAGAGGCCUUUAGCUAAGCCGUACUAAUGCACGAGGGCUCA